UCAAUUCCUGUAAAUUAUAAUUGAUAAGUACCUAAAUUAUUAUUGACUAAACAAAAAUUUUAUAUAUUUUAUAAAAAAAUUACUUGAGUAUCCAAUAAUACAUAUAUGACAUUUACUGUGAGUUUCCAUAAGAGCAAAUACUAACUGAAACGUGAAAGAUAAGGUGUAGAAAAUCUGCGGUGUGGUCCAAACUUUGUAUCUGCUCGUAACCACAAAGUCACGUUUCGCUUCAAAGAAACUUUAUGUAUAGAAAAAGUCAUUAGCUUUCUUUUUCAUCGGCAAGCUCUUGUUGAAAAAAAGGUAUUAUAACAGUGAUUAUCUUUAUAUUGAAAGCAGCAGGCAGGAUCGAAUAACUUGACGAAGACUAGUUGCCACAAACAAUGUUGGGAAAUGUUGGAACAAACACAUGUGGCAAUGGAUAAGUGCGGUAGAAAAGAAUGUUGGAAAACGAUUCUAGAUGUAAUUGUGUGGAGUGCACUCUUUGAGGAUGCCCAGGGGCAAUUCCUCAACAACAUUGGGAAAGCCACCCAUUAUCGACCCACUCACGACCACCCAAACUUGUACCCAGCAACCUUCUCACUUUUGGCGACACUGACACAACACUAUUUCUUUUCAUUUCUACUAUUCUAUUCAUGAUUGCACCUCUCUUAAAUGUCAAUUUGCCAAAAUCUCGCUUCUAAAGUGAUUAAUUCUGUACUAUACUAAACUUUAUUAAAUAAAUAAAACUUAAAAAAUUAAAUUCAUUGAACUUGAAAUAUCAGCUGAGUCCAGAGCAUUAAAAUUUUAACAGAUCAUGUAUUAACGCUGGCUGGCAGCCAAAAUCCUUGCUCGAACCAUUCAUCUAAUUUUUAAGUCAUUUCUAAACCAUCGUUUAACUAUUCAGCAAUGCCAAACCAAUUCUUGAGCUGUAUAGAAAAUUUUCACCCAUCUAACCUUAAGUUAUAAUAUAAUCGAGAACUCGGGUUCCGGAACUCGAAUUUUUCGAGUGCU